AUACCCCUGCCUUUUCAAUUCCCGUCCCCGCGUUACUUCCCCGAGUCUUCUUGCCUUGUGAUCUGCAACAUCCACUCGCCCCGCCCGCUAGCCCAUUGCUCUGCGCGACCGCCCUCACACACUACAAUGGCCUACGAGACGUUUACCACCACUACCCAUUGCUUACUAGACACAUACCCGGUUGGCAGUUAAGUUUAAGCCUUCAAGGAAGUUUACAAUGUUCCCAGUGCUUCCGCAUCACAACUAUGCUGAGGUUGCUGCAGCACCAACUGCCACAUAUUCGCCAGAGAAUGGUCUCUCCAGCAACACUGCGGUACGUUUACAAAAUAUUUUGUCGUAACCUCAUUUGUCAUGUUCUGAGCCAAUUAGUCUAUCUUGAUUUGCAUCAGGAAUAUUGUAAUUAUUGAUAGUAAUGCUGUCUUUUUUGGUAGCUGCACUGAUUAGUAGGUCAUUAGAAAGCCUAAGAAGUUAUUUACUUGAUUCUGGGAACUUCCUUGUUGAGAUGGUACAUUGUAUGUACAAACUAUGGCAUGUAGAAGAUGCUAUUCAGCGAAAUUAGAUUGCAUAGACUCUUCUUCUGUUACAGACUUAUGUAUGCGAGGAAAUACUUGCUACUAUAGGAGGACUUGACGUCCAAUUUCUAUAUUUAUCUCUCUGGUUAAUUUUGUUGGAUUUGCUUAUCUACGAUGAUAUACAGUGAUGGGUGUAUUAUAAUUAUUAGUGCUGCAAAUAACCUGAACUUUUUGUCAGGCAGAUAUGGGUAAAAUGUUCCGAUCUAAGCCUUGCUCCCUAGCUCUAGCCUCAAGACUCUCCAUUGAGAAUAAAGGAGCCACAUUAAGGUGGUGUUUGGUUUCAUAGUAGGAUUUUAGAAUUGUGAUUUUGAUUUUGAUUUUGAGUGGUAUAAAUGGGGCCCACCCUUUGACUUUGUAAGAGUUAUGUUGUUUUGUUGUGGGAAAAAGUAAUAUAAAUGGGAUCCACUCUUUGACUUUGUAUGAGUUAUUUUGUUUUGUAGUGGGUAGAAUUAAGUUAGAAUUGUGAUUCUAAAAUACAACACUGAAACCAAACAGAGCCUAAAGGCAUUCGGCAUUUUAUUCUAAAGCUGAUGCUCUUUUAUAGUAAGCAAAGCACAUCUAUUAGAGUAGCAAAUGUUGUUUACAGGCGAAUCCUUUCACAAGUUGAUAAGCCCCCUAUUUAUGAAGAUGGACUUGGAGAAGAUAUUCUACGGAAAUAUUGUUGCUUAUGAUAAUGCCAUGCUUCCUGAUGGCAAGCGAGAUGAACUAGUGAACCCAAUUUGGAGGAACAUUUUUACUGACGAUGGCUCAUCCACGCCGACUAAAUGAAUGACGUUCUGCUAGUUUCUUUGAUUAAAUGAAUGAUCGAAUGAUAUUAAAUUGUCUUCCAUUAAUCUGGUACGGAUCUCAGAUGUCACUCAUUAUUGAAGGCAAAUGGCCAGGGAUGCUCGUCGAGAAUCGUUUUGCCUCUCCUUAACAGGGAACUUCAUUUUCACCUUCAUGAAGAGUCCGACAGAUCCCAUGAAAAAUUAACGGAUGAGUCCAGAAAAGUUGGGAUCAUCAUAUCACAGAAAGCGUCCGAGAUGUCAUUCAGCAUCAUCCAGCAGCUUAUUCUAGUUUUAAGCUCCUUCAGCAUCUCACUCGGUACAGUUGUUCUAAUGUCUCCUAGUUGUUUCGAAAAUAAAUUAUUGAUGGUUGAGUAGAGGAUAAAAACUUUUAUUUAUUUAGAAUUAUAAUGAUUGUGUCGUUGAAUUAUGGAAAAAAAAGUAAG